UACGAAGUGGGCUAGCGUUGUUCGGAAUUACUGGGCGUAAAGGGCGCGUAGGCGGCCUUGUCAGUCAGAAGUGAAAGCCCCGGGCUCAACCUGGGAAUUGCUUUUGAUACUGCAAGGCUAGAGUUUCGGAGAGGAUGGUGGAAUUCCCAGUGUAGAGGUGAAAUUCGUAGAUAUUGGGAAGAACACCGGUGGCGAAGGCGGCCAUCUGGACGAACACUGACGCUGAGGCGAGAAAGCGUGGGGAGCAAACAGG
rnacentral:rRNA from 1 species